GACGAACGCUGGCGGCGUGCUUAACACAUGCAAGUCGAACGGAAAGGCCCUGCUUUUGUGGGGUGCUCGAGUGGCGAACGGGUGAGUAACACGUGAGUAACCUGCCCUUGACUUUGGGAUAACUUCAGGAAACUGGGGCUAAUACCGGAUAGGAGCUCCUGCUGCAUGGUGGGGGUUGGAAAGUUUCGGCGGUUGGGGAUGGACUCGCGGCUUAUCAGCUUGUUGGUGGGGUAGUGGCUUACCAAGGCUUUGACGGGUAGCCGGCCUGAGAGGGUGACCGGCCACAUUGGGCCUGAGAUACGGCCCAGACUCCUACGGGAGGCAGCAGUGGGGAAUCUUGCCCAAUGGGCGGAAGCCUGAUGCAACAACGCCGCGUGCGGGAUGACGGCCUUCGGGUUGUAAACCGCUUUCGCCUGUGACGAAGCGUGAGUGACGGUAAUGGGUAAAGAAGCACCGGCUAACUACGUG
rnacentral:rRNA from 1 species